AUGUUCGCCAGUCGCAGCUUUGUGCACGCCCGCGUCGAGAAGCAUAUCCGGCGCGCCAACACCGGCGGCAAGUUCCGGCUGGGAGGCACCUCCGCCGUGUACGAGGACCCGCAUGGGCUCUCACUUCGGUGGCUCCGUCUCAGGGAUGUACUGAACGAGGACACCAAUUCCACUGGCCCAGCUCACGGUCACGGCAAGGUUGCCAAGCAAGAGAAACAUCCAGCUCAGGCAAGGCAAGCUCUUAUCGCUGUGGGUGGCCGAGGGCCAUGGGACGAGCCCCUCGUGGCCGGCGAGAUAUACAAUCCAAUGACCGACAAAUGGGUCGAGAUCGCCUGGUUCCCCACCGACGUUGGCCUGGCAUGCUCCGGCGACGUCUGCGGCGACACGUUCUACGUCUACUGCGAGUCCGACAUGCUCGUCGCCUACCAUCUCGACGCUGGCUCAUGGUCCGUCGUCCAGACGUCCCGGCCGCCGCCACGGCUCCGAGACUACACGCCGGCGCUGGUCUGCUGCGCGUCCAUGUUCAUGCGCUGCGUCUCGUGGUGUGACCCGGCGAAUAGAAGGGACAAGGUGGUGCGGAAGGUGUUCGAGAUGAACCUCGGCUUGACACCGCUGCUCCAGUGGACCUAG
rnacentral:rRNA from 1 species